UGGUGAGGUAGAGGUUGCAGCGAUCACUAGUAAACUUUUGGAGGCGCGCGAAACGCCAGUGAAGAAAGUUAAACAGGAAAGUUGCCGAAGUGAGAUAAAUUUUGCGGUUUAUUUUGCUGGGACAGUUUGCGAAAGCAGCUGGACUGCUACUAAAACAGUCAUUUUAGUAGGUGCGCUAUCUGACAA
rnacentral:ncRNA from 2 species